AGUGAACGCUGGCGGUAGGCCUAACACAUGCAAGUCGAACGACAGAACAGUAAGAGCUUGCUCUUACGGGUGGCGAGUGGCGGACGGGUGAGGAAUACAUAGGAAUCUACUAUUUCGUGGGGGAUAACGUAGGGCAACUUACGCUACUACCGCAUAAGUCCUACGGGUGAAUGCAGGGGAUCUUCGGACUUUGCGCGAUUGAAUGAGCCGAUGUCGGAUUAGCUAGUUGGCGGGGUAAAGGCCUACCAAGGCGACGAUCCGUAGCUGGUCUGAGAGGAUGAUCAGCCACACUGGAACUGAGACACGGUCCAGACUCCUACGGGAGGCAGCAGUAGGGAAUAUUGCACAAAGGGCGCAAGCCUGACCCAGCCAUGCCGCGUGAGUGAAGAAGGUCUUCGGAUUGUAAAGCUCUUUUGUUAGGGAAGAAAAACUGCAUAAGAAUACCUCGCCGUUCUGACGGUACCCAAAGAGAAAGCAACGGCUAACUUCGUG
rnacentral:rRNA from 1 species